rnacentral:rRNA from 1 species
UACGGAGGAUGCGAGCGUUAUCCGGAUUUAUUGGGUUUAAGGGUGCGUAGGCGGAUCGUUAAGUCAGUGGUCAAAUUGAGGGGCUCAACCCCUUCCCGCCAUUGAAACUGGCGAUCUUGAGUGGAAGAGAAGUAUGCGGAAUGCGUGGUGUAGCGGUGAAAUGCAUAGAUAUCACGCAGAACCCCGAUUGCGAAGGCAGCAUGCCGGCUUCCGACUGACGCUGAAGCACGAAAGCGUGGGGAUCGAACAGG